UACGUAGGGUGCGAGCGUUAAUCGGAAUUACUGGGCGUAAAGCGUGCGUAGGCGGUUCGUUAAGUGCGUCGUGAAAGUCCCGGGCUCAACCUGGGAAUGGCGAUGGAAACUGGCGGGCUGGAGUAUGGCAGAGGGGGGUGGAAUUCCGCGUGUAGCAGUGAAAUGCGUAGAGAUGCGGAGGAACACCGAUGGCGAAGGCAGCCCCCUGGGCCAAUACUGACGCUCAGGCACGAAAGCGUGGGGAGCAAACAGG
rnacentral:rRNA from 1 species